UACAGAGGGUGCAAGCGUUAAUCGGAAUUACUGGGCGUAAAGCGUGCGUAGACGGUAGCGUAAGUCGGGUGUGAAAGCCCCGGGCUCAACCUGGGAAUUGCAUUCGAGACUGCUCUGCUAGGGUGCGGAAGAGGGGAGCGGAAUUUCCGGUGUAGCGGUGAAAUGCGUAGAUAUCGGAAGGACACCAGUGGCGAAAGCGGCUUCCUGGUCCAGCACCGACGUCAGGCACGAAAGCGUGGGGAGCAAACAGG
rnacentral:rRNA from 1 species